UCCACCAGCGAGCAGGCUGCAAGGCAUAAGAAGCUGAGAGGAGACACAGCCAGGACAGCUGACCCAACUGGCCAAAGGGAUAUGCCAUACCACUGAAUGUCAGCCCAGUGAAUAAACUGGGGGAAGUUGGCUGGGAGGACCCAAUCACUGCUUGGGAACUGGCUGGACAGCAGUCGGCAGGUGAGCUAUACUGAAGCUGGAACCAUCCUUAUGACUAUGCCAUCAUAGCACGGUUUCACAGUUGACACUGAAGAUAAUUUCAUUCUGAGACUACUAUUUACUGAAAUCUGUGGGGGAGGAGAUAAAAGUCAGUUUCUUGUAUUCUUUACUAUAAAGCAAACAGCUUCUGAUGUUUAUAUAAAUGGUGAUAUUGAGAUAUUCUGUGCUUUUUCAGUAGUUGCUUUUUUUUUUUUUCAUAAUUUCCUCCCUGUGCAAACACUACUGUAUUUCUUUCAGAAGAUUAAACACCAAGGAUUUAUGCCUUCA